AGAGUUUGAUCAUGGCUCAGGACGAACGCUGGCGGCGUGCCUAACACAUGCAAGUCGAACGGUCCAGUUGAAAGAUUGGAUAGUGGCGGACGGGUGAGUAACGCGUGAGCAACCUACCUUAGAGAGAGGAAUAACGCAGGGAAACCUGUGCUAAUACCGCAUAACAUGCUACAGUCGCAUGGAAGUAGCAUCAAAGGAACGCAAGUUCCGCUUUAAGAUGGGCUCGCGUCCGAUUAGAUAGUUGGCGGGGUAACGGCCCACCAAGUCGACGAUCGGUAGCCGGACUGAGAGGUCGGCCGGCCACAUUGGGACUGAGACACGGCCCAGACUCCUACGGGAGGCAGCAGUGGGGGAUAUUAGGCAAUGGGGGAAACCCUGACCUAGCGACGCCGCGUGAAGGAAGAAGGUUUUCGGAUUGUAAACUUCUUUGACGAGGGACGAUAAUGACGGUACCUCGAGAACAAGCCACGGCUAACUACGUGCCAGCAGCCGCGGUAAUACGUAGGUGGCGAGCGUUGUCCGGAUUUACUGGGUGUAAAGGGCGAGUAGGCGGGACGGCAAGUCAGAUGUGAAAUACGGAGGCUCAACCUCCGGGCUGCAUUUGAAACAGCUGUUCUUGAGUGAUGGAGAGGUAAGCGGAAUUCCUGGUGUAGCGGUAAAAUGCGUAGAUAUCGGGAGGAACACCGGUGGCGAAGGCGGCUUACUGGACAUCAACUGACGCUGAGGCGCGAAAGUGUGGGGAGCAAACAGGAUUAGAUACCCUGGUAGUCCACACUGUAAACGAUGGAUACUAGGUGUGGGAGGACUGACCCCUUCCGUGCCGGAGUUAACACAAUAAGUAUCCCACCUGGGGAGUACGGUCGCAAGAUUAAAACUCAAAGGAAUUGACGGGGACCCGCACAAGCAGUGGAGUAUGUGGUUUAAUUCGAUGCAACGCGAAGAACCUUACCAAGGCUUGACAUCCUACUAACGAAGUAGAAAUACAUUAGGUGCCCUUUUAGGGAAAGUAGAGACAGGUGGUGCAUGGUUGUCGUCAGCUCGUGUCGUGAGAUGUUGGGUUAAGUCCCGCAACGAGCGCAACCCCUGCUGUUAGUUGCUAACAGGUAAAGCUGAGCACUCUAGCAGGACUGCCGGUGACAAACCGGAGGAAGGUGGGGAUGACGUCAAAUCAUCAUGCCCUUUAUGAUCCGGGCUGCACACGUGCUACAAUGGCCGGUACAGAGAGAAGCGAAGCCGCGAGGUGGAGCAAAUCUCAGAAAGCCGGUCACAGUUCGGAUUGCAGGCUGCAACUCGCCUGCAUGAAGGCGGAAUCGCUAGUAAUCGCGAAUCAGCACGUCGCGGUGAAUGCGUUCCCGGGCCUUGUACACACCGCCCGUCACACCACGAAAGUCGGCAACACCCGAAGCCGGUGGGCUAACCUAAAUAGGAGGCAGCCGUCGAAGGUGGGGUUGGUAAUUGGGGUGAAGUCGUAACAAGGUAACCGUA
rnacentral:rRNA from 1 species